UUUCUUUCUUCAAACUGAGAAUUAUGACGAAACCCCUAGGCAGCUUUUCCUUGUUCUGAAAGAAAAAAGGACAAGUCCCACGCUUUCUUUUUCCUCAAUUAAUUUGAAUUUUUUAUUCUAUCAUGACGAUAGUUAUCAUUUCACCACUUUUUUGCAAAACCUUCCAAUUGCAAAGGUCCAUCCUGUCCCUUUGACAUUUGAGCUUAACGUUAGUUAUUU
rnacentral:lncRNA from 1 species